CGGCUGAACGUUUUGAUCGUUUUCCCACUGAGCGAUUUCAUCGUUUUCAGAAGCCAAAACUAGACCGGCCGCCAUCACCUCGCUCUUUUCACUCAAAACUCUGAACCGGGAGGAGGUGUUUUUCCUCGCCCCGUUAAUUUGGUGAAAUGAGAGCUAAGUGGCGUAAGAAGCGUAUGCGGAGGCUGAAGCGUAAGCGCAGGAAGAUGCGUGCGAGAUCCAAGUAAACGCCCCCAGCUGGAACAACCGUUUCAUCGCUGUGCAACGGGUCUCUCAAACGUCUGGAGCAAAAAUGUGUCGGAACCGCCCCGGGAAGUACGCGGACAGCAUUUUCCACAGAACGGAGAAAAUCGGAGGAACGCGAGCCCGCGUGUAUGUUGGACCCCUGUGCAUUCCCUUCUCCGGGAGCAGCGUGUGUACGUGACGGAAGCCGUGUUUGGUGUGGUUAGCAAGAGAUGUAACAUCCCGAAACGAAACCCCCGAAUAAACGCCACGCCACACAUCUGUGCGUGAGGAAGUGAACGAGGCGCCUUCCGGGCGCUACGACACAUCCGGAUGUACAAUACUAAGCAAGA